rnacentral:rRNA from 1 species
GAUGAACGCUGGCGGCGUGCCUAACACAUGCAAGUCGAACGGAGUUAUAAUCCGUCUUCGGACGGAUUAUAACUUAGUGGCGGACGGGUGAGUAACGCGUGGGUAACCUGCCUCAUACAGGGGGAUAACAGUUGGAAACGACUGCUAAAACCGCAUAAUAUUGCGAUGCCGCAUGGCGAUGCAAUUAAAUAUUUAUAGGUAUGAGAUGGGCCCGCGUCUGAUUAGCUAGUUGGUGAGGUAAUGGCCCACCAAGGCGACGAUCAGUAGCCGGCUUGAGAGAGUGACCGGCCACAUUGGGACUGAGACACGGCCCAAACUCCUACGGGAGGCAGCAGUGGGGAAUAUUGCACAAUGGGCGAAAGCCUGAUGCAGCGACGCCGCGUGAGUGAAGAAGUAUUUCGGUAUGUAAAGCUCUAUCAGCAGGGAAGAUAAUGACGGUACCUGACUAAGAAGCCCCGGCUAACUACGUGCCAGCCGCCGCAGUAAAAC